rnacentral:rRNA from 1 species
GCUUGUCUCAAAGAUUAAGCCAUGCAUGUCUAAGUAUAAACAUCUUUAUACUGUGAAACUGCGUACAGCUCAUUAUAUCAGUAAUUAUUUAUUUGAUGGUCACUUACUACAUGGAUAACCGUAGUAAUUCUAGAGCUAAUACAUGCGUAAAAUCCCGACUCUCGCGGGGAGGGAUGUAUUUAUUAGAUGGAAACCAAUGCGGGGCAACCCGGUAUAUGGUGAUUCAUAAUAACUUUCGGAUCGAUCUUCGGAUCGAUGCAUCAUUCAAGUUUCUGCCCUAUCAGCUUUGGAUGGUAGGGUAUUGGCCUACCAUGGCUUUAACGGGUAACGGAGAAUUAGGGUUCGAUUCCGGAGAGGGAGCCUGAGAAAUGGCUACCACAUCCAAGGAAGGCAGCAGG